GCUAGGACGAACGCUGGCGGCGUGCUUAACACAUGCAAGUCGAACGGGGAUAUCCGAGCGGAAGGUUUCGGCCGGAAGGUUGGAUAUUCGAGUGGCGGACGGGUGAGUAACGCGUGAACAAUCUGUCCCAGACAGGGGGAUAACACUUGGAAACAGGUGCUAAUACCGCAUAAGACCACGGGGUCGCAUGGCCGAGGGGUAAAAGGAGGAAUCCGGUUUGGGGUGAGUUCGCGUCCGAUUAGCCAGUUGGUGAGGUAACGGCCCACCAAAGCGACGAUCGGUAGCCGACCUGAGAGGGUGAUCGGCCACAUUGGAACUGAGAGACGGUCCAAACUCCUACGGGAGGCAGCAGUGGGGAAUAUUGGGCAAUGGGCGAAAGCCUGACCCAGCAACGCCGCGUGAGUGAAGAAGGCCUUCGGGUUGUAAAGCUCUGUUAUAGGGGACGAAGGAGUGACGGUACCCUAUAAGGAAGCCCCGGCUAACUACGUGCCAGCAGCUGC
rnacentral:rRNA from 1 species